CAGCAAUGCCGCGUGUGUGAAGAAGGCCUUCGGGUCGUAAAGCACUUUUACCGGGAGCGAAAUACCAUUGGCUAAUAACCGGUGGGGCUGACGGUACCCGAGGAAUAAGCGCCGGCUAACUUCGUGCCAGCAGCCGCGGUAAUACGAAGGGUGCAAGCGUUAAUCGGAAUUACUGGGCGUAAAGGGUGCGUAGGCGGUUUGUUAAGUCUGUCGUGAAAUCCCCGGGCUCAACCUGGGAAUGGCGAUGGAAACUGGCAGGCUAGAGUGUGUCAGAGGAUGGUGGAAUUCCCGGUGUAGCGGUGAAAUGCGUAGAGAUCGGGAGGAACAUCAGUGGCGAAGGCGGCCAUCUGGGACAACACUGACGCUGAAGCACGAAAGCGUGGGGAGCAAACAGGAUUAGAUACCCUGGUAA
rnacentral:rRNA from 1 species